GAUGGAGCCUCCCUUGGGUGGUCUGAACAGGAGGACGGCGGCAUGAGGCUCUCCCUGCUACAGAUGGUUAGAAGAUCUUCUCACUGGAAUGGAGUUCCUGGGAGCCUUUACAGAAUGCUAUAGUAGUUCAUGAAGAAUAAAAGAAUAAAAAUGAGAGGAGGAGAAGGAGGAGGAAAUUCGG